rnacentral:lncRNA from 1 species
GUGUCAGCUGCGAGCUAGCAGCAGCUGAGGCUCGUACUGUCCCUGUCCCUGGAGAAAGAGAGCACUGAGUGGCGCCACUGCUCAGGGGCAAGAGCACGGAAUAAACACCCCGGCCUGGCGCUGCUGCCAGCCAAGCCCGGUGCAAGCCGGCAGGGAAGGAAGCACAUCGAUGCAGGUGACGCAGAAGUCCAAGGAGGAGCUGGAAGCGGGGAGGAGUCCCAGGAGAGGGGCAUGUCCCAGGAGCCACCCAAACCAAUGAGCUAAUGGAGAGGGACACUGGGAGAGGCCAAAGAGAAGGGGCCCGUGAGCGGACCUGGCAGAGGGAGGCUACCGGUGUCCGUGGGAUGGUGGGGCCAGAGCCUGGCCGGAGCAGGUGCAGUCGAGGAUGACGUGAAGGGAGCGUUAGAGACAACUCUUUCCAGAAGUGUAUCCUGAACCCUCGUCCCCUCCUGCGCAGGUGGACAGUGUUGUCCCCACUUUACAGACAAGGAGACUGAGGCUUGGAGAAAGCCCUCGUCUUGUUCAAGCGCCCUGAGCUAGCCUGAUUACGCGGGAGCAGCUUGCCAUUGGGAGAAGAGCGGGGAGUUGGUGGAUGGGGUGAUAAGUUGGAUUACUGUUCCAGCCUCAGGGAGCUGCUUCCUGCCGCCGGCUUGGAUGCCUCCUGCCCAAGCCCGGGCGUCCCCAGCCGCCUCGGCCCAAGGAGGAGCGCAAGCCUUGAGGUUCGAGUAGCCUGGGACACCCCCGGACAGAAAUCACCUGCCCGUCGAUGGACAAGGCGGGGACGCCCUGGGAGUGCCCCCCCCCCCAGGAUCGCUGGGAGGCCGGGAGAGGGGUGCGCCGUGUGCGCCCCGAAAGCUGAAAUCGCCGGCCUUGGAGAAAUGGACUAGCCCCCCUCGAGAAAACUGCUCGGCCCCCGUCUGCGGACUGACCACGGCCCCCCAACCCGGGCAGGGAUGAUGUCAGCUCUUUUCCGGGGGACUCUGCCAAUCGAACCAGCCUGGUUCCAGGACGGGCGCCCCCCACUCCCCCAAUAAAGCCCCUUCUCCCGGAGCGGCGCGGGCUGCUUUCUUCUGGGUCCUCGGCGCGCGGGGCACGGCUGGAGCGCGGUGGGCGGAGGGGGGGGGGGUGGUCUGAGACAGCCCCGGGAGGCUCCGGCCUGCGGGAAGGCGCCCUGGUCGCCGGGGGCCCGGAGCCCCUGGCGCCCCCCGCCCCCGGCCCGGGUC